rnacentral:rRNA from 1 species
UACGAAGGGGGGCUAGCGUUGCUCGGAAUCACUGGGCGUAAAGGGUGCGUAGGCGGGUCUUUAAGUCAGGGGUGAAAUCCUGGAGCUCAACCUCAGAACUGCCUUUGAUACUGACGGUCUCGAGUCCGGGAGAGGUGAGUGGAACUGCGAGUGUAGAGGUGAAAUUCGUAGAUAUUCGCAAGAACACCAGUGGCGAAGGCGGCCAGCUGGGCCAGGUCCGACACUGAGGCGCGAAAGCGUGGGGGAGCAAACAGG